rnacentral:snRNA from 1 species
UUAGUUCAUGUUUUAAACGACCG